UAAAACACAUUAUUUAGAUAAUAGAUUCUUACUUAAAUCAUUAUAUUCAGUUACAUGUUCAGAGAUGCUAUAAAUGAUGACAGUGAAAGAACAUACAUUUAAGAUGUAAAUUGUAUGCUUAGAUGUAUUUAUUUAUGGCAUUAGUUAUUAUAGAAAUCUGCUUCAAUUUUUAGGCAGAUGGAAAGGACAGUAUGAUGAGUUGCUAUGACAAAUAGGGUAUUUUCCCAUGUAAACUUAUCUCUUCUUUUAAUAUUUCAGUUUUUUUUUUUCCUUCUCUAAGGAGAAGCUUUAGAGCUGGCAGUAGCAGCACCCAUAGGGUGAUUUACAUAUCUGUCUGUUAAAAGUAGCUGGGGUUCAAUCAUGGACUUAAUUAUCUUUACACUAGAAGCCAAGCUUAUAGUCUUGCCUUGGAAUCUCUUUAGUUUUUGGUAAUUAGUCCUGACCAGUACUUCCUAUACUUUGACUCCAUUUAGUAACAAGAUUAAAAAUAUACAGUUAAUUCUAAAAAUGAAAAUUUGAUCUCAGAAUGAAAAUUCGGCUUUUUCACAAGUGAUAUUGUGAAGACGGAGAAGGAGAAUUACAGCUCAAAUAAAAAACUUUAUAUAAAUUUUAAGCAGUCUGAUAACACUAAAAGGAAUACUUGGGGGAGGAGGACAUACAGUGGCAGUGCGCUGGGAAG
rnacentral:lncRNA from 1 species